rnacentral:rRNA from 1 species
UACAGAGGGGGCAAGCGUUGUUCGGAAUUACUGGGCGUAAAGGGCGCGUAGGCGGCCUGUUAAGUCGAACGUGAAAUCCCCGGGCUCAACCCGGGAACUGCGUCCGAUACUGGCAGGCUUGAAUCCGGGAGAGGGAUGCGGAAUUCCAGGUGUAGCGGUGAAAUGCGUAGAUAUCUGGAGGAACACCGGUGGCGAAGGCGGCUCUCUGGACCACAACUGACGCUGAGGCGCGAAAGCUAGGGGAGCAAACAGG